rnacentral:rRNA from 1 species
AAUCUGCCUUGUUGUGGGGGAUAACGUAGGGAAACUUACGCUAAUACCGCAUAAGACCUUAGGGUGAAAGCGGAGGACCUUCGGGCUUCGCGCGACAAGAUGAGCCGAUGUCGGAUUAGCUAGUUGGUGGGGUAAAGGCCCACCAAGGCGACGAUCCGUAGCUGGUCUGAGAGGAUGAUCAGCCACACUGGAACUGAGACACGGUCCAGACUCCUACGGGAGGCAGCAGUGGGGAAUAUUGGACAAUGGGCGCAAGCCUGAUCCAGCCAUGCCGCGUGUGU